UGCCAUUCCUAGCGCUAAUAGCGGCACUAAAACAAAAAAGUGGGAAAAUAUAUAAAAUCCUCGCAAAACCCAGUUAUUCUCAAAACCUCUCUCUCUAAAAAUGGAGAAAGGGGGAAUGAACAAUUGCAAGAAUUUAUCUGCUAUGUCUCUUGAACAGUUCGUCUCCACCAUGGCCCCUUUACUCGAUCUCGAAAGCUUCCAUGACUUCGGGGGCAACAAGGACUUUGGAUGCUGCUCUGAAGAAAGGCUCCACCAUUCUUAAUUUGAAGUGUGUGGAUGCUCACUGCUCAGACAGGAUUAAUGGGAAAAUCUCUUCUCGAGUUUCAGUCUACUAAAGGUGAUGUUCUUCCUGCCCACAAGGUGAGUGUCUAAUGUCCACUCAUUACUAUUUUGAUUUUGAUAUUUAUUACAUGUUAUCAUGUGAUGUGU